CUACCUCUAGAGAACAUCACCUUACCCAGGAUGAUCCGUUCCGGCAGGCUGGAAGCAGUGCAGAGCACGCAGCAUGGGAAAGUUGUUGCCGUGUGCCGUCUCGCUCCUUCUCCUCGCUCUACUCUCAUCGUCGGAGUCGGUGGCCGCCUUCCCCUCCCUCCGCGUCCGGGGCUACGACUCCAUCUUCAGCUUCGGCGAUUCGUUCGCCGACACCGGCAACAACCCCGUCGUCUUCCGCUGGUACUCCGUCUUCAACCCCGUGACGCGGCCGCCAUACGGCUCCACCUUCUUCGGCCGCCCCACCGGCCGCAACUGCGACGGCCGCCUCAUCAUCGACUUCAUUGCUGAAAGCCUGGGCCUGCCGUUCCUCCCGCCUUUCCUGGCGCACGACGGGGGCUUCCGCCGCGGCGCCAACUUCGCCGUCGGGGGCGCCACUGCCCUCGACGUCGGCUUCUUCCACGACGGGGAGCCCGCCGGCCCCGGCGCCAGCCAGUUCCCUUUGAACACCAGCUUCAGCGUGCAGCUGCAGUGGUUCGAGUCGCUGAAGCCCUCCCUCUGCGGCACCACCCAAGAGUGCAGGGAGUUGUUCGGGAGAUCGCUCUUCGUCGUGGGCGAAUUCGGGUUCAACGACUACAGCUUCUCCUUGGGAGGGAAGAGCAUUCAACAAGUCAGAUCGUUCGUUCCAGAUGUCAUCAGGACCAUCUCCAUGGCCAUCGAGAGGCUGAUCAAGCACGGGGCGACCAGGCUGGUGGUUGCCGGGAUGAUUCCGGCAGGAUGCUCGCCGCCGAUUCUCGUCAUGUUCGCCGACGCCGACCCGGCAGGCUAUGACCCCCGGACAGGGUGCCUGAAAGAUAUGAACGAGCUGGCCAUUCAUCACAACUCGUUGCUCCGGGAGGCCUUGCACGACCUCCGGGCCGAGCACCCGGACGUCGAGAUCAUCUACGCCGAUUUCUUCAACCCCAUCAUGGAGAUGGUGGAGUCGCCCGGCAAGUUUGGGUUUGAAGGAGAUGCUUUUACAAUUUGUUGUGGAGGACCCGGGAGGUACCAUUACAACCAAGAAGUUUGGUGCGGCGAUCCAGGUGCGACCACAUGCAAGGAUCCAUCUGCUCGUUUGUUCUGGGAUGGAGUCCACCUGACAGAGGCAGCUAAUCGGUACAUCGCCGACGACUGGCUGAGUAGCAUAAACUCGCCUGCUAGUGCUAGCAAUCUAUAAGGUUUCUGCAACCAUCCUCCAGACUAAUUUCUGGUAAACAUGAACAGUUCUGGUAAUAGAAGGAAGAGCCGCUGCGAGAAACAAAACAGGCAAAAAUGCCUGUCUAUCUUUAUCUAUUCUGUAACUGAACAUGAGACGGCCAGAUGCCUCGCGGCAGCACAUGGGCCUGCUCCCUCCCGUGCAACAUGUUUGCAUGCAUGUUUGCCUUUUUUAUUCAAUUCUCUGCACUUGGCCAGCCACCACAUGCAUGCAUCUUUUUUUAUCCGGUAGACUCCAGCAUGAGCUACCCAUUCCUGUUCCAAGUACUUUAUUUCAUAGUACACAUGUAUAUAGGGAUGGUAAAAACCCUAAUGGUGCAGGUUUAUGUUACAUUAUUUUCUAAUAGCUUUAGGUGUGAGUUUAUAUCUAAAUCCAAUGGACACACCUACA